GAGUUCAUCGAAAAGAGAGAAAAGGUUUUUAGAAAGAGAGUUUGAGGUCAAUGGGUUUAAAGAGAGAGUCCAUAUUUUUUAGUGUUAUGCUUCUUCUUCUUCUUUCAAAUAUGGCAACAGGGAGAGUACUCUUCCAUUCUACUUCACUUCAUGCAGAUUUUGAGACGAUGAAUAUGGAUGGGAAGAAUAGGGAUGGGAGUCGUUUUCUGAGUUCGGCUCUGCCUCGAGGUGGCAACUAUAUUAACAAACCCCAUGCAGCAGAGAAGGCUGCGGUUGGACGCGCCGGCUACCAACCAUGACGGCUAUGGAAAACUGGUUAUGAGAGAGUGUAGUACUUCAUGAUGAUCAUAUAUAAUAUAAAUACACUGUGGCUGAAGUAUCAUGAAUAAAAACAUGGGUUUUAAGUCAACAACGUAAGCAUUUUUAUUUGUGAAUGUUGUCUCAAAUUAGUGUUUGACAUGAUGAUAUAUACCAUGAAACGUUUUGUAGUAGAAUUAUAUUUUUGAAGUGAUGAUGUUGUUGAUU